AUUGAACGCUGGCGGCAGGCCUAACACAUGCAAGUCGAGCGGUAGCACAGAGAGCUUGCUCUCGGGUGACGAGCGGCGGACGGGUGAGUAAUGUCUGGGAAACUGCCUGAUGGAGGGGGAGAACUACUGGAAACGGUAGCUAAUACCGCAUAACGUCGCAAGACCAAAGAGGGGGACCUUCGGGCCUCUUGCCAUCAGAUGUGCCCAGAUGGGAUUAGCUAGUAGGGGGGGUAACGGCUCACCUAGGGGACGAUCCCUAGCUGGUCUGAGAGGAUGACCAGCCACACUGGAACUGAGACACGGUCCAGACUCCUACGGGAGGCAGCAGUGGGGAAUAUUGCACAAUGGGCGCAAGCCUGAUGCAGCCAUGCCGCGUGUAUGAAGAAGGCCUUCGGGUUGUAAAGUACUUUCAGCGGGGAGGAAGGCGAUAAGGUUAAUAACCUUGUCGAUUGACGUUACCCGCAGAAGAAGCACCGGCUAACUCCGUGCCAGCAGCCGCGGUAA
rnacentral:rRNA from 1 species